rnacentral:tmRNA from 1 species
GGGGCUGAUUCUGGAUUCGACGGGAUUUGCGAAACCCAAGGUGCAUGCCGAGGGGCGGUUGGCCUCGUAAAAAGCCGCAAAAAAUAGUCGCAAACGACGAAAACUACGCUUUAGCAGCUUAAUAACCUGCUUAGAGCCCUCUCUCCCUAGCCUCCGCUCUUAGGACGGGGAUCAAGAGAGGUCAAACCCAAAAGAGAUCGCGUGGAAGCCCUGCCUGGGGUUGAAGCGUUAAAACUUAAUCGGGCUAGUUUGUUAGUGGCGUGUCCGUCCGCAGCUGGCAAGCGAAUGUAAAGACUGACUAAGCAUGUAGUACCGAGGAUGUAGGAAUUUCGGACGCGGGUUCAACUCCCGCCAGCUCCACCA